GACGAACGCUGGCGGCGCGCCUAACACAUGCAAGUCGAACGAGCGAGAGAGAGCUUGCUUUCUCGAGCGAGUGGCGAACGGGUGAGUAACGCGUGAGGAACCUGCCUCAAAGAGGGGGACAACAGUUGGAAACGACUGCUAAUACCGCAUAAGCCCACGGCUCGGCAUCGAGCAGGGGGAAAAGGAGCAAUCCGCUUUGAGAUGGCCUCGCGUCCGAUUAGCUAGUUGGUGAGGUAACGGCCCAUCAAGGCGACGAUCGGUAGCCGGACUGAGAGGUUGAACGGCCACAUUGGGACUGAGACACGGCCCAGACUCCUACGGGAGGCAGCAGUGGGGAAUAUUGCACAAUGGGGGAAACCCUGAUGCAGCGACGCCGCGUGGAGGAAGAAGGUCUUCGGAUUGUAAACUCCUGUUGUUGGGGAAGAUAAUGACGGUACCCAACAAGGAAGUGACGGCUAACUACGUG
rnacentral:rRNA from 1 species